CUUGGCGACCAUAGCGCUUUGGACCCACCUGACUCCAUGCCGAACUCAGUAGUGAAACGAAGCAGCGCCGAUGGUAGUGUGGGGUCUCCCCAUGUGAGAGUAGGACAUCGCCAGNA
rnacentral:rRNA from 1 species